ensembl:lncRNA
CUAUAUACAGGGGGUACCAGUACAGAGUGAAUGUGGAGGCUAUAUACAGGGGGAACCAGUACAGAGUCAAUGUGGAGGCUAUAUACAGGGGGUACCGGUACAGAGUCAAUGUGGAGGCUAUAUACAGGGGGAACCGGUACAGAGUCAAUGUGGAGGCUAUAUACAGGGGGUACCAGUACAGAGUCAAUGUGGAGGCUAUAUACAGGGGGUACUGGUACAGAGUCAAUGUGGAGGCUAUAUACAGGGGUACCGGUACAGAGUCAAUGUGGAGGCUAUAUACAGGGGUACCGGUACAGAGUCAAUGUGGAGGCUAUAUACAGGGGUACCGGUACAGAGUCAAUGUGGAGGCUAUAUACAGGGGUUAAGUACAGAGUCAAUGUGGAGGCUAUAUACAGGGGUACCGGUACAGAGUCAAUGUGGAGGCUAUAUACAGGUGGUACCAGUACAGAGUCAAUGUGGAGGCUAUAUACAGGGGGUACCGGUACAGAGUCAAUGUGGAGGC